UAGAAAAGUGUUUUGUGUUUAGAGUUUUGUGAAAAGUGAGGGCAGUAUCGUGAAAUGUGUUUAAGCAAUAGAGAAAAACUGUAAUUGAAAUGUACAGAA